AAAAUGUUAAAUUAAGGUAGAAGUACUAGUGCUCGACGCUGCACUAGUAUUCGACAUGGGCACUUUAUGUCAAAGUGACAAGGAUUAAAUUUGAAUACAGAAAAAUCUUCGCUGUUCAAAUUUAACCUAUAUUACUUUGACAUAAAGUGCCCAUGUCGAAUACUAGUGCAGCGUCAAGCACUAGUACUUCUACCUUAUUUCUUUUACAAUAAUUUAAAUUUCAGCUGCAAACCAGAUUCAGAUCAGAUCUUCACAUGCCAGAGUACCUCUGUCAACAUCAAACAGUGAAAAUGCACAAACUUCAGCUACUGCAUCUACGAGUACAGGCCAAGCUUGUCUGAAAUCUGGAAUAAGCAUUCGACCGGAUAAAGCGGCAAUACCAGCGAAACGCCCCCGCUUUGCUGACAAACAACCUGGCGGAUCUAGGGAUUCUCUAGUUCAGCGGUCGGCAACAAGCGGCCCGCGAGCCCCCCUGG